GAAAUACCCUUAAAGGUCUGCUAAUCUAAAAUGCCUCAUCUCUCCCUGCUCCCAUCGCUCCCUUUCAGACCGUUUAGAGCCUCUCUGUAUGUCCUCCUCUGUCCUGCUACAUCUGGACAUCAGAGCCCAGUGCAAAACCAACAACAUCUCACAGUUUUACCAAUUUAACUUCAGAUUCUGACAUUUUUCCAUGUUUCCUCAAAACGUCAAAUUUCGAAGUUGCUCCCAACUCAAAUGUUGUAGAUGUUGACACCCUGGUGUUCUCCUCCUGCUCCGCAUCAUUCCGAAUGGUUAAGUUAGGGUUUCUCAAAGGGGGGAACAUUGUGGUUUUUGCCCUAGGCCUACAAAGCUGAUUCAAAUAAUCAACUAAUCAUUAAGGUUUGGGAUAGGGCUAAAAAAAAGUAUUAAAAGAUGAGUGUCUAUCGCUGGGAAUAUGGUUAGGUUAAAUUUAUUUGCACCAAAGAAAAUAAGUGAUACACAACAAUACAGAUAAAAACUAAUAAUGAACAUGCGACCUUCGGAUUAGGAGUCAUGGGAUUCUGAAUGGUUAAGGGUUAAGUUUAGGUGUUCACUCUGAAUGGUUAAGGGUUAAGUUUUGGGAUAGAGUUAAACAUUAAGUUAAGGUGUUCAUUCUGAAUGGUUAAGAUAAGGGUUAAGGUUUGGGAUAGAGUUAAACAUUAAGUUUAGGCAUUCAUUCUGAAUGGUUAAGAUAAGGGUUAAGGUUUGGGAUAGAGUUAAACAUUAAGUUUAGGCAUUCAUUCUGAAUGGUUAAGAUAAGGGUUAAGGUUUGGGAUAGAGUUAAACAUUAAGUUUAGGCAUUCAUUCUGAAUGGUUAAGAUAAGGGUUAAGGUUUGGGAUAGAGUUAAACAUUAAGUUUAGGCAUUCAUUCUGAAUGGUUAAGAUAAGGGUUAAGGUUUGGGAUAGAGUUAAACAUUAAGUUUAGGCAUUCAUUCUGAAUGGUUAAGAUAAGGGUUAAGGUUUGGGAUAGAGUUAAACAUUAAGUUUAG